rnacentral:rRNA from 1 species
UACAGAGGUCCCAAGCGUUGUUCGGAUUUACUGGGCGUAAAGGGUGCGUAGGUGGUCGGGUAAGUCUCAUGUGAAAUCCCGCAGCUUAACUGCGGAACGGCAUGGGAUACUAUUCGGCUCGAGGAUUGGAGGGGGGGACUGGAAUUCCCGGUGUAGCAGUGAAAUGCGUAGAUAUCGGGAGGAACACCAGUGGCGAAGGCGAGUCCCUGGACAAUUCCUGACGCUGAGGCACGAAAAGCCAGGGGAGCAAACAGG